rnacentral:rRNA from 1 species
CCUACGGGAGGCAGCAGUGAGGAAUAUUGGUCAAUGGACGAGAGUCUGAACCAGCCAAGUAGCGUGAAGGAUGACUGCCCUAUGGGUUGUAAACUUCUUUUAUAUGGGAAUAAAACGUUCCACGUGUGGGAUUUUGUAUGUACCAUAUGAAUAAGGAUCGGCUAACUCCGUGCCAGCAGCCGCGGUAAUACGGAGGAUCCGAGCGUUAUCCGGAUUUAUUGGGUUUAAAGGGAGCGUAGGUGGAUUGUUAAGUCAGUUGUGAAAGUUUGCGGCUCAACCGUAAAAUUGCCGUUGAAACUGGCAGUCUUGAGUACAGUAGAGGUGGGCGGAAUUCGUGGUGUAGCGGUGAAAUGCUUAGAUAUCACGAAGAACUCCGAUUGCGAAGGCAGUUCACUGGACUGCAACUGACACUGAGGCUCGAAAGUGUGGGUAUCAAACAGGAUUAGAUACCCCAGUAGUC